CCACUUGAUGGCGAUAGUGACACGUUGAUUUCAUGGAGUGUCCCUGUUGUAAGCACAAAAAGAAGACUUUGCUCUUACAUUUCUAGUUUGUGAAGCAUAGUAUACGUAGUUCACAAUUCAUUUAAUUUCGUCAGUCGGUACACCACCCGUGUUUCUUCAGUUUGUUGUUUGAUGUGAAUGCCAAGUACAACCAGAGGCUCUCCUCGCUACCGGUGGGCAAACAUGAAGCCAGGGGUGUGUGAUGGAGCAUCGUCUCAGAUUUCGGAAUCCUUCACGAACUGGGUUGGCGAAGCCUGUUAGAG